ACUUUUGAUAAUAAAAGAUAAAAAUAAAAAAAGCUCGAUCUCGUGUGAUCUCAGAAGCUAAGCAGUCGGGCCUGGUUAGUACUUGGAUGGAGGAGACCGCCUGGGAAUACCAGGUGCUGUAAGCU
rnacentral:rRNA from 1 species